rnacentral:rRNA from 1 species
AUUGAACGCUGGCGGCAGGCUUAACACAUGCAAGUCGAGCGGGGAAGUGUAGCUUGCUACAUUACCUAGCGGCGGACGGGUGAGUAAUGCUUAGGAAUCUGCCUAUUAGUGGGGGACAACAUUCCGAAAGGAAUGCUAAUACCGCAUACGUCCUACGGGAGAAAGCAGGGGAUCUUCGGACCUUGCGCUAAUAGAUGAGCCUAAGUCGGAUUAGCUAGUUGGUGGGGUAAAGGCCUACCAAGGCGACGAUCUGUAGCGGGUCUGAGAGGAUGAUCCGCCACACUGGGACUGAGACACGGCCCAGACUCCUACGGGAGGCAGAAGUGGGGAAUAUUGGACAAUGGGCGGAAGCCUGAUCCAGCGAUGCCGCGUGUGUGAAGAAGGCCUUUUGGUUGUAAAGCACUUUAAGCGAGGAGGAGGCUACUCUAGAUAAUACCUAGAGAUAGUGGACGUUACUCGCAGAAUAAGCACCGGCUAACUCUGUGCCAGCCGCCGCGGUAACAC